rnacentral:rRNA from 1 species
GAAAGUUACUUCGGUACGAUCGGUGACAGGUGGUGCAUGGUUGUCGUCAGCUCGUGUCGUGAGAUGUUGGGUUAAGUCCCGCAACGAGCGCAACCCCUAUUGUUAGUUGCCAUCAUUCAGUUGGGCACUCUAGCGAGACUGCCGGUAAUAAACCGGAGGAAGGUGGGGGAUGACGUCAAAUCAUCAUGCCCCUUAUGACCUGGGCUACACACGUGCUACAAUGGUUGGUACAACGAGUUGCGAGUCGGUGACGGCGAGCUAAUCUCUUAAAACCAAUCUCAGUUCGGAUUGUAGGCUGCAACUCGCCUACAUGAAGUCGGAAUCGCUAGUAAUCGCGGAUCAGCACGCCGCGGUGAAUACGUUCCCGGGCCUU